rnacentral:rRNA from 1 species
AUUGAACGCUGGCGGCAGGCCUAACACAUGCAAGUCGAGCGGCAGCGGGAAAGUAGCUUGCUACUUUUGCCGGCGAGCGGCGGACGGGUGAGUAAUGCCUGGGGAUCUGCCCAGUCGAGGGGGAUAACAGUUGGAAACGACUGCUAAUACCGCAUACACCCUACGGGGGAAAGCAGGGGACCUUCGGGCCUUGCGCGAUGGGAUGAACCCAGGUGGGAUUAGCUAGUUGGUGAGGUAACGGCUCACCAAGGCGACGAUCCCUAGCUGGUCUGAGAGGAUGAUCAGCCACACUGGAACUAGGACACGGUCCAGACUCCUACGGGAGGCAGCAGUGGGGAAUAUUGCACAAUGGGGGAAACCCUGAUGCAGCCAUGCCGCGUGUGUGAAGAAGGCCUUCGGGUUGUAAAGCACUUUCAGCGAGGAGGAAAGGUUGAUGCCAAUACGUAUCAACUGUGACGUUACUCGCAGAAGAAGCACCGGCUAACUCCGUGCCAGCCGCCGCAGUAACAC